UUCAUCAAUGUUCUUGUGAUUAAUUUCAUGGCAGCUUUGCAUGUUUUAUCUCCUCCUUUCUCGGCAUUCAAUCCUUUUGGAUCUUAUCCCUCAAUAUAUGUGUCAUAAUAAUUGUAAUUAUAUAUAUAAUACAUGAACCAAGUCUAAAAUAUUUGUAAGGGAUUCAUUUAUUAGAGAAAAGGUAGGCGUGGGAUUCCCCGCUUCUCUGGUGAAUCAUGAUAACUCUACGGAUCGCACAACCCUUGUGUUGGUCAUGCUUAAUUAAAAGUUUUUCUGUAUCAACAUUUGAUGGUAGGAUAUAGGCCUAUGAUGGUGGUGAAACAUGAUGGAUAAUUAGUGUUUGAUUAUGAAGAGGCAUCCUGAGAAAUUUCUACCACAUCCAAGGAAGGCACCAUGCAUGAAUAUUACCCAAUCCUUACAUGGGGAGGUAGUGGCAAUAAAUAAUAAUAUUGGGAUCAUUGAGUCUAGUAAUUGAAAUGAGUAAAAUCUAAAUCCUGUAACAAGGAUCCAUUGGAUGGUAAUUCUAGUGCCAACAACUGCAGUAAUUCCAACUCCAAUAACAUAUAUUUAAGUUGUUGUAGUUAAAAAUAUCAUAGUUGGAUCUUGGGUUUUAAAUGUUGGUCUUAUUAAUCGGUGUGUGCCUACCCUUCCAUCCCUUUUUCCGGUGGAAUUCUCCUAAAGUUAAUUGGCUAGGUCAUAGUUUCGAUGUUGUUACUUUGAAAAAAUUAGAGUGCUCGAAGAAAUAUUAUUGUUUGAAUACAUUAGCAUGGAAUAACACGAUAAGAUUUUGGUGCUAUUGUUCUUUCCUUUGGGACCAAAUUAAUGAUUAAUAGGGGCUCUCGCAUAUCCAGAUGCAUGUUCGGAUUUCGAGGGAGGAUGCGGGCGGGCUCCGUUUCCUCUUCUUUUGAGGUGGGUUGAGUUCACUU
rnacentral:ncRNA from 1 species